AGCGUUGUCCGGAUUUAUUGGGCGUAAAGCGAGCGCAGGCGGAAAAAUAAGUCUAAUGUGAAAGCCCUCGGCUUAACCGAGGAACUGCAUCGGAAACUGUUUUUCUUGAGUGCAGAAGAGGAGAGUGGAACUCCAUGUGUAGCGGUGGAAUGCGUAGAUAUAUGGAAGAACACCAGUGGCGAAGGCGGCUCUCUGGUCUGCAACUGACGCUGAGGCUCGAAAGCAUGGGUAGCGAACAGGAUUAGAUACCCUGGUAGUCCAUGCCGUAAACGAUGAGUGCUAAGUGUUGGGAGGUUUCCGCCUCUCAGUGCUGCAGCUAACGCAUUAAGCACUCCGCCUGGGGAGUACGACCGCAAGGUUGAAACUCAAAGGAAUUGACGGGGGCCCGCACAAGCGGUGGAGCAUGUGGUUUAAUUCGAAGCAACGCGAAGAACCUUACCAGGUCUUGACAUCUAGUGCAAUCUGUAGAGAUACGGAGUUCCCUUCGGGGACGCUAAGACAGGUGGUGCAUGGCUGUCGUCAGCUCGUGUCGUGAGAUGUUGGGUUAAGUCCCGCAACGAGCGCAACCCUUGUUAUUAGUUGCCAGCAUUAAGUUGGGCACUCUAAUGAGACUGCCGGUGACAAACCGGAGGAAGGUGGGGAUGACGUCAAGUCAUCAUGCCCCUUAUGACCUGGGCUACACACGUGCUACAAUGGGCAGUACAACGAGAAGCAAGCCUGCGAAGGCAAGCGAAUCUCUGAAAGCUGUUCUCAGUUCGGACUGCAGUCUGCAACUCGACUGCACGAAGCUGGAAUCGCUAGUAAUCGCGGAUCAGCACGCCGCGG
rnacentral:rRNA from 1 species